UUCAGUUUUUCGUUUUUGUUUCUUUUUAGUUAUUCGUUAUAUCGAUGGUGUUGCGAAAAGAAAGACCAAUCUGCAAAGUAUUAUUAUUGGCUGCCCUUUUUUGGAUAACACAUCGAUACGGCUUUAACUCAUCCAUCAGUAACGACCAAAAUAAUCCACCACUAAUUCCAGAAUCUCAUUAAAAAUUUCCUCUUCUAUGCCUUCUGAUCAACGACUUAACACACCAAUUUGCCAAACUGACCAACACAACUCAAUUAGCAAUGAACAACAAAUACAAAAAAAAAAAACAAGGGUAAGUCCAGUAUACAACCCUUGCAAUCUAUCAACAGUACCAUGACGGAGGAAUGCAUUAAUUGGCAUCCAUAAAACCAAAAAAAAAAAAAAACACCAGGUCAUGACCUAGACAACGGUGUAAAGUCGAACAAUGAAGAAAAAAAAAAAAGAAAAACAAACCACAACAGCAGUUUCGCCACUUGAAAAGGGUCAUUGAAUGUCCAUGUCCGAACCCGCGGGGUGUGAGAAACAUGGAAGAAAUAAAAGUGAAAGGCACAAAAAAGACUACUGUAGGAAUGAGGAAGAAAAAAAAAUAAUUUUUAAAAAUACCCUCCUGAAUUCAAGGGGUGAUUUUCGAUUUUAUUUUUUUUUUGUGGUAAGAAAAAAGAACGGCGGCAUUUUAAACAGGACACAGAAUAAAAUGAAAAUGAAAAAAAAAAAAAAAAAAAAACAACCACCGAUGACCUAAGGCGGGGACAUCGACACCACUGAAAGUCCACCUUGUCCAAGCAAAAUAGGAUUUUUUUUUUUUCUGUAAAACUUCUUUGUAAUAUACGGAAGAGAAAAAACUACGGAACGUGCCGUUACCAUAGUCGUCAGUGCCAUCGUCAUCAUCGUCGUCAUCAUUUUCUCUGACCUUAUCCUGUUGCUUCCGCCAUCCACACUCCAUAAAGGAUAAUUGAAUGAAAACGGCGAAUAAUUUAUCUGGCAAAGGAGGGCAAUCGCUAUACGCUAUACACACACACAAAUACAAUACACAAAACAGACAGACAGAUAUAGUACAAAAAUUGGCAACAGAGAACGAACGAUGGCAGCCGUCCAUUUCUGCCAAAGCCUCCUUCUGUCUUGGAUACUAUAAAAAAAAAACAACAACCAGAAAAAAAGAGCAAUAAAAUUCCGGAUUUUAUGCGAAUAAAGUCCUAAUUCCCACAAUUUGUUAUUCAACAGAAUAAAAGAGAGAGAGACCAAACCAUACCCCUCACAAAAGGACCUGUUGCAUGGACUCUACGCAGCACGCAGUGAACUUAAAUCGAGUCGAGGUAGAACUUCAAAGGCAAAAUUGCCAGCCAUUUUCAUGAAUAGGAGACAGAAAAAAAAAAAAACAUAAAUUGCGAAGGGCACUUGAAGCCUGGACCUAUGGAGGAUAUAUUCAAGGACACGACAACGAAGAGUGACCUUCCUUUCUCAUUCCUUUUUAUCAAAUUUGCUGCGACACUGCAGCCAGCAACCAGUAAAAAAGGAAACAAGAUUUUGGCAUCGGAACUUGUCAUCGUUUUGUGCGAAAAUUUCAACGCAUCUCCUGCGAGCAACCUCCGCAAGGCAAUUUCCACCCCCAACCAUCAUCAAUCCGGGGGUAAUAUUUUCAUUGGAUUUUAUUUUUCCCUCUGUGCUGUCAUCGAACAAGCACCCGGGGGAUGUAGAUGGAUAUAGAGAUUGUAUACAGAUGGAUGGAGGAGGACUACAAAAUUGACAACGCACCAUAGCACCGCACCCGCAUUGCAAAACGAUGCAGAAAAACAGGCCACAAAAGAAAUUGGCAACCAAACCAGCACUGAAUAAAAAAAAAAAAACAAAAACAAACAAACCAACCAACCAACCAACCAACACACACACUCUCUUCGCCGCCAACAACCCUCUUGAAUAUUUACAAAUGGCAUUAUUGCUGUUUUGGUGGUUUUUCAUAUAUAUUAUUUUUGCAAUAGUAUCAAACACUAGGAUCUUGUUGCUUUUGUAUGAGCAAAAAAAAAUGAACAUGAACUAUCGAUGAGGAUUAUCCUGCCGCCAAACUGACACCCACCCCAAUUUGAUUUCAAAUGUAUUUAUACCAUCACUAUAUCAGCACUAUACAACCACCACCAAUUGGCAAACAAGACAGAGUCAUUGGAAAUGGAAUGGGGUUAUUUGUGCCAAAAAAGCAACAACAGCUUUUUUGCUUUGGACUUGAUGAUGGUUGUCGUCUAAGGUCCUUGCGGACGUUACUGGCAUAAUAUACAUUCGCACCACACCAGAGCAUCAUUACCAUCA